AUGUUUUCCAGCCUCAAGUUGGCCUUUAUGCAGCCCUGCAAUUCUCCCUUCACUUCUUACGGACUCAUACUGUAUUGAUCUAGUGGAAGAUAUUAUCAAUCUGUGGCCCCUGUCCACUGCCUUAAGGAAGAUAUUGCAAGGAUCUUUAUGAACCUUCCCAGCAGACGGCCCCGUGCGUGCUAUGGCAACGCAAGAAAGCGUGCACUGUUGGCAAAGUUCCUGUAAGAAGUCAAGAUGAUUCUAGAAGUUAGGCUCAGUUGCUGUUUACUACUUCUUCUCUGUCAUCAUCCCCAGUGGUGUUAGUGUCGUGAUGGAAGGUCACCCCUGACCUGUCAUUUCUGCUACAGCUGAAAGCAAUAAAAGGCAAUGCUGCAUAGUACUCAGAAGAACCAUGUUCUCCUUUGUAAAUGAGUGUGAAGGAAGCAAAGAAAGAAGAAAAAAGAACUGAGUGGGAAGAAUCUGGAAAAUUAACAGCAAGAGUCAGUGAACACGAUUCUAUUUUUUCCUUAUAAAGAAUACUUUAAAUUACAUAAUUACAGAUUCCAGGGAAAUAGGUAUUUAAAUCCAUCAGUGACAUGUGUUUGACUUCCUCAUUUGCAGAGAAAAUCAGAAGCUUAUUUUGGUUUUUGUUCUCACUCUUCUCUUUUCCCCGCCCACCUAAAUCGGAUUGAGAUAUUUGACAAAGUAAGACCCUAGUACAAUGGAAAUUAGACUCUAGCGAAAGGAGAGGCUGCGUGAAGCUCUUUACACACUACAAAAUCCAAUGUUCCCACUUUUUCCUACAGACAUUAGAAAGGCACAGAAAUAUAAUCAGAUCCAACUCCCAGUUUCUAUUUUGAGCAGGGGUUUUAAAUGCCAUCGGCUUAGAUUAAUGUGCUAUGAAUUAGUCACCUUGCAUAAAUAUGUUUCAUUUAAAGGAAACCCAAAUGAAUGUGUUUCCUUAAAUGAUAACAUGCUAAGGGCAUGGCAGAACCCUUUUAGAUAAAGAAAACAAAACAAGACUUUCCUUGCCUGUAUUUUAUAAAUUUCCAAACAGCGUGAAGCUUAAAGCCCAAAAGAGAUACCCAUGAAAAUCUACCGAUCGGCUUCUAGAACUGCCACCUUUAAUGUUGCAUAAAUGAUAAAUGUUUCAUCUUAAUGUUCAGAGAGGUAUUCAC